ensembl:misc_RNA 7SK 7SK RNA
AGAGCAACCUCGAUGGGGGUCCUAUCACCCCGUAGGCCACAAGGGUUGAUUCAUUUGAUCUGGCUGGGUGAUGGAUCCCCUUCUUUGCUUUAUGUUCCAUAAAGUUGCACACUUGCUCAAGGAGAAAUACCAGACAGAGAAAGGCCUUCAUAUGGGCAAGGGAAUACAAAUCCUGUGCCUCCCCAGAAUCCCCAGACAAGCUCAGAUCCAUGUGUGGUUUAGACUAGUUAGGGUAAGCAUAUUUACAAAGUCUCUUAUUAUUCUUGGAGAUCUGAUGGAUAAGACAGUGCUUUUAA